rnacentral:rRNA from 1 species
UACGAAGGGUGCAAACGUUGCUCGGAAUUAUUGGGCGUAAAGCGCACGUAGGCGGCUUAGCAAGUCGGAAGUGAAAGCCCUCGGCUCAACCAAGGAAGUGCUUUCGAAACUGCUGAGCUUGAGUAGUUAAGAGGAUCGCGGAAUUCCCGGUGUAGAGGUGAAAUUCGUAGAUAUCGGGAGGAACACCAGUGGCGAAGGCGGCGAUCUGGGAACAUACUGACGCUGAGGUGCGAAAGCGUGGGGAGCAAACAGG